UAGCACCAAAUGCAACAAAAUGAAGUAGCAAUUACUAAUGGAUGACUAAUGCCUGACUCACGGUAACAACAAAGUUUUCCACAGAAGCAUGAAAUAAGAACAAAGGUUAUUCUAAAAUUUCUAUUUUAGAAUAUAGAAGAACAAGGUGGAGUCCUGCCAUCUUAUAACUUGGGAGAAAAUCUUGGGUGAUCCCACUCUGUGACAACAUGGUCACGAGUUAUCUCCUUGAGCGAACGGCAACCACUUAGUGCCAUUGUUAGUUCAAAUUCAUCACGAAGCAUUUGAAGUACUUUUCUCACACCAGUCUCACCAUCAGCAGCCAAUGAGAACACCACAGGCCUACCAAUCUGAAAUUUGAGAUGAAAGGCAAAGAUAUAAAUAGUAGGAAUAUGGGACUAGCUAGAUUAUAAUAGAUCAUCUGCCUACAAUGAAAAACUAGUAAACCAAUGCAACAGAAGAACAUAUUGCCUUGCCAUAUUCCAUAAGGCAAACAAACACACAUAUACUGAAGUUAAGCAUUCAAUAGUUUAAUUUGCUAUGAUGGUGAUCAAGCUUUCAUGUACUUACGAAUACACCAGCUGCUCCAAGAGCUAGUGCUUUAAAAACAUCUGUCCCUCGGCGAAUUCCACCAUCCAGAAAAACUGGAAUUUUUCCUUGUGCAGCUUUAACUACCUAUUCAAGUCAGGCAACCAUUAUUUCCAAUAUGUUUCAUGAAUUGAAAGAGGAGACUAUUCAAUAGGACCCAAAAAAUUAAAAAGAAGAUGAAAAUGCAAUGAUUAUGAGUAAGGAAGCAGGCAAUGAAAAAGAAUUUUGCAAUGAUUCAAAUAUAGCAGCUUUAAAGUUUUAAUGCAUUAAGCAUUAUGAAAUAAAAUCAAAAAAAGAAUGAGCAAGACUUUAGUUCCACUAGCAAGAAUGAUAGCAAGUGGUUCGUUUCUAUUUCAAUUAAUAUAAAAUUUCCAGAAAUGGUUAGGAUAUAGUACCUCUUCCAAAGCCAUAAUAGUUGCAGGGACAUAGUCAAGUUGACGAGCUCCGUGAUUGGAAACAAUGAUUCCAGCAGCUCCAGCUUGUAUGGCUAACCUUGCUACAUUAUUAGAUAUGGGAUAAGAUUAAAGAUUGAGAAAACAAUUCUAAAUAGAUAAAUGGACAGGGAAGAAACAAUGUGCAUCUGUUUGAUAGGCUUACUAUCUUCAGCAGUAAGGACACCCUUAACUAAAAUUGGCAAUGAAGUGAUUGAUUGAAGCCAUUUGAUAUCCUGAAACAAGAUUUUCCAUAUUAUUACUUCCACAUUCAGUGCCACAGAUUAGGAAAUUGUAUGUGUGAAAGAUCUAUAUCACCUUCCAGUUGAGUGACCGAUCAAUUUGUCCAGCAACAUAAGAGGCAAGACCGGAGUCACUAGUCUGCAAUGUAAUCCCACACAGCAAAUAGUAACAGUAACAACAAUAAUAUGACCAAUAAUGAAAAAACUCAGUUAUUUCAAAAUUUCAAACCAAAUAUUGGAAAAGAGCAAUGUAAUCACACACCUUGUCCAGCUUUCCAAGAUCCAAUCCUUCAAAAUUCUUCAAAACCAGGUUUGGUGGCAAUGUAAAUCUGUAAAAUACCCCGUCAAACUAGCCAGUAAAAUAUCUUAAAGUAGGAGAUUUAUCAAUUCAACCAUGAUGAACCAUGUAAUGUUUCGUGGGAAGGCUGUUCUAAUUGAAAUUUCCAAAUGGUUGCCAACCUGUUUUUGAUGUCAGCCUCCCUACGACCAAGAAUUGGAGUGUCGACAGUAAGGGCAAUUGCCUUGAAACCAGCUCUUUCAGCUCUUCUCACAAGCUGAGCAACCACAUUUCUGUCUUUAAACACCUGAGAGAAGAAGAUAACAGUAACAUAUUAGGUAUUAAGACAAGAAUGUUGAGGAUUUUAGAUAAUAGGAGAUAUUAAUAUUAGCGCUUGCAUAACUGAGGAAAAAAUACCCACAUAAAGUUGAAAAAAACGAAUGUCAGGACCUGUUGAAGCAACCUCCUCAACACUGGAAGUAGCCCAUGAGGAUAGUGUCUGUGAUAAAAAAAAAAUUAUAAAAUUUAAUCUGCUGGAAAGUGAAUAAGUACAACAAAUGCAUGUAGUUCAGUAGGCAUAUAAAAUUUCAUAUUGCAGUCAAAUAAAUAAUAAAACUACAAGGAAAGAAAUAUAGUUUUCAGCUUGAAAUAAAACGAAAGUGCAUGACAAAUAUAGUGAAAGCCAAACCAUGAUUGUGCCAGCUGCUGAUGCUGCUCUAGCAGUAGCUAAUUCUCCUGCAUAAAAUUUGCAUAAUUUGUUUUAAUUCAGAAGCUUUUCUCAAUUGCUGUUGCAGUACGAAAUAAACUACUAUUAAAAAUAUAUUAGGAAUCAGGGACUUGUGCAUUAACAAAAUCAGCAGAGUUUAUGUUUAAUUCAGAUUAAUUUUAUACUUUGUAGUUAUACAAAAAAUAACCACCACAAUAGUUAAAUGAUGUCAAGGUUGGAGUAUUCAGCAAUAUUCUGCUGUAUAAAACAUACUCAUUGCAAUUUGCAAACAUUUUGCAAAACAAUUUAGACAAUCUUAACAUGCUGGAAUUUUCUCCCCAAAAUGGUUGGAUGAAAUUGACUGAGAUUUUUAAGAUAAAUUCAUUUGCUUCAUAUGGGAUUGUAAUCUUAUUUAAGAAAGGUUAAUAGCAGUUUUUGUUUAGAAGGGAAUGUUCUGUUGUCCUCGUAAUUUAGCAAAGCUCGUUUAAAUCUCCUUUCAUGUUCUUGUGCUUAUAGCACACUAAAGUAUACAGAACCUAUACUGGUUUCAGUAUAAACAUACUCCGUAAGCUUUCUUUCAAAGAGCCACAAGAUACCUUCUCAUUCAAUUAAAUGCUAAGAAGCUACAUUUUAUGGCAUUCUAUACCUCAUCCUAUAAUCAUUCCACCUCAAGGUAUGGAAAUGGUUAACUCAGUGCUUUUUGGCUUUUGCCAUAUGAGAGUGAAGUAGUUAUACUUGUAUAUGACAAAAAGAACAACAACAAGAAAAGACUGAAGUUAUGUUUAGUUUUCGGUUGGGAGGCUUUUAAAGUCCGCUCAAAAAGUAAAACAGAAAAAACUUUGUUUGAUUUUCAGUUGGAUUCGAUUGGAAACUGAAACUCAGUUUGAAAAAGAAGUAAAGGAAAAGUUGCUUUUGCAUACUCAAUUUACUAAAUUAAAGUUCAUUCACUUGAGUUUGUAAACUUUAAUCCAAACAUGCACAAAAUGUAAUGACAAUAUCUUAAUGUGGCACAGACCAAAAAAUCUGAUGACAUACCUUCAGGGUGAGCCAUCUUUUGCAUGGCUGUUGGAGCAAUCAUGAUAGGCAUUGAUAUUUUGAAGCCCAAUACAGUUGCAGUCAAGUCUAUCUUGCUCACAUCAACAAGAAUACGCGGCCGGAACCUGUUUGAAGUAACCAAAUAGAUAUUGAGAGAAGGGCUUCAGAACAAAAAAGAUGAAAAUUAAUUAAAGGAAGCACAUGUUGCAAUCUCGUAAAACAGGGAUUCAGGGAAUCCUAAUGUGUCCUUAGUAAAUAAAAGGAAAGGUUUUUUGAAUGAAAAGUUUCUAGAGGGAUAGAACAGAUAAGUGGAGGUCCUAGUUCCUGAGAAAAGUAGAUUACAGAAUCCUUGAGAAUGCAUUUCGGUUCUCCUUCAAAGUCCACUGAUCCUCUGCCCCUGAUGCAUAGUAGUCAUAAACCAUCUUUGGCAAUUUUUCCUUUGCAAUUGCCUCAUACUCGGUAACAUUAGUUAUCAUCUCCAUCUUCAUAAGAUUUACUUACAAUGUCCGCAGGAUCUGCUGAAAUUGAGUUUGAAGCAUAGUGUGAUUAAAUAACCUAAAAUUAUAUCAAAUGCAUACCAAUGCAAAGAUGCUAUGCAAUAUCAAUAAAUGCAAGCAUGAAUAUAUCUUAAGUUCACUGACUGAUUUCAGAAUACUACAAAACAUGCUAGUUAGAAUCCUGUCAACUUGACAAUUAAUAGUCUUUUAUAUAUGAAAAACAGUUACCAUUCCAUGUCAAAUGAAAGAUUCAUCAGUCCCCACCACAUGAAAGCAGGAUCUUCUGAAUUUUUCUUAUCAAAACUUCACUUUCAUGAUUUGUUAUGUAUGUGCGCAAAAUAUUGACAGGUGGUUUUUCAUCAACAAGUAAAAUUACUUACUUUAUCCUAUAAAGCAAGUGUCGACUUUAGAGGAAAAAUAUCCCAACCUAUGGGAUCAUUUUACUUUAUGUAAUACUGAUGAGCAAUUCCACAAACAGGACCAGUUCUAAUUUACCCCACUCAAAUUCUGACUAGUGAGCAAGGACCAGAUUCUGAAGACACCCAUGAUGGAAACAAAACCAGGAGAUUAAAGAUUCACACUUUCAAAAUGUUUAAACCUUAAACAGUACCCAAAACGACGAAUUCUUUGAGUAUGAAAAUGAAAGGAGCAGUAAAUUAAGACUACAAAACAAAGUUAAUCAUGUUCAUAAUCAAUUAGUAUAACAGAAUAAUUAUGAUCAAAUAUGUAAUUCACGACAGCAAACAAUUUGGAACGAAAACCAGGUAAAGUUGAAAGGGAACCUUUGGCUUAGGCCUCCGAGGUGGGUGGAAUACGAUGAAGCAAAAUGGAACAAGAAAAGGUGGCGAGAAAAGUAAAAAAGGUCACGGGGUACUAUAUAACAGAGCCAAAAAAAAAAACAGAAAAGGAAAAUAAUAAAGAAAUUGCAUAGUGACAAAAUGAUGAGUAUAUUAUCAGAAUCGUCAUAACAUGAAUUAUAGACUUAUAGUAUCAAAAGAGUGGGACAAACACUUGUGAAUUUGUUGUCGAAGUGAGAGAGGAGUGAGGAACAAGACAAAACUGUUUCGUGGAAGUGUGAGCUAUCGUGCUGUGGACCAUUGCCCGCCGCAAUUUUGGCUGUUUCAUGGGUUAAUGGUUUUACGUUCCUACGUACAACGUAUGUUGUCAGCAACUUUUUGGCUAAGUACCAUGUAUGUAUGUAGGUUACUUGAUUGUUCUUCUACAUAAUGAUAAUAAAUUAUACUCCCUCCUAGCUUAGUUAUAAAUAUAACAAAACAAAAAAGUUUGAUAAAUCUAAAGAUAAGUAAAUAUUAACUAUUGGAUGAGAUUCUUUCAAAAAAAAAAAAACUACUUUGUUAGGGAUUUGAGAUUUUAUUUUUUAUUUUUGAUAUCAAAGAUUAUAAUUGUAAAUGUGAUCAGUAGAAUUAAUAAUAUUAACUCACUUUCUCAACUAACGCAAAAAAUAAUUAAUUUUACUUGUAUUUGAGUGGAGUAAGCAUUUUUUACUUAUUAUUGGGUGAAACACACUUGUGCAUCUAACCAAAUCUUUAAAAAUGUUAAAUUUUAGAUUUUAGUUUUCAAUAAAUCCUGGGCCCAUUCUUUUAAGCAAAUAUUUAGAUAUGUUUAGCCUAAUUAAUUUUGACUUAAAAGCUACUUAUAAAUUUAAAUUAAAAAUAAGAGCUUAAAAAAUAGAAGUUGUUUAUUAUUUUUUAAAGCUUAAAAGCUCCUUUUAAAUAAAAAUUUGUUUAGUAAAAAAAUAUUGUAAUUUUUUAAGAACUAGUUAUCUCAUAUAAUGAAAACAUAUAAAUUAAAAAUAUAUUUAUUUUUUAAAAAAAUAUUAUGUAAAAUUAAUUUAAUUUGGCCAAGUUAAAAUCAAUGUAGUUAAAUAUACUUUGGUCAAAACUAAAUUAUUCCAGCAAAGUUAUAAAUACCCUAAUCAAGGCUAAGAUGAAAUUAUUCCAGCAAAGCCAAGUUGAAGAUGUGAUCACGGUGGAGUUAAAAAUAUUUGGAUGGGUUGGCCAGUCUUAAGCCCUAACCCAACCUUUGCUAUAAGUUGGGCAUGACUAUUGUAUUCUUAUAAUUGCAUUUUGGAAAUUUAAAUUUAUAUUUCAGAAUGAACUUUUCACAAUGAAAAGGGCAAAAUGAUAACCAAAGUGCAAUUGAUGAUGGAGGAUAAGGCCUGACAAUGAGUAUCUGCACCCUCAUCCACCGCUCCAAAACCCUCACUCAGCUCCUCCAACUUCACGCCCUCUUCCUCAAAACCUCCCUCGACCACCACCCUUUCUUCAUCUCCCAGUUCCUCUUACAAUCCUCCACCAUCUCCCUCCCUUUCGCCGCCUCCUUCUUCCACUCCCUCCCCACCCUCCCACCCCUCUUCGCCUGGAACACCCUCAUCAGAGCCUUCGCCGCCACCCCAACACCCUUCCACUCCCUCACCCUCUUCCGCCUCCUCCAAACCUCUCCCCUCAACCCCGACAACUUCACCUACCCUUUCGUCCUCAAGGCCUGCGCUCGCUCUUCCUCCCUCCCCCUCGGUGGGACCCUCCAUUCUCUCACCCUCAAGACCGGUUUCCGUUCCCACCGCCAUGUGGGUAAUGCCCUUUUGAACAUGUAUGCGGAAUGCUACGCUGUUAUGUCCGCGCGCAUGGUGUUCGAUGAAAUGACUGAUAGAGAUGUUGUCUCCUGGAGCUCCUUGAUUGCUGCCUACGUCGCUAGCAACUCCCCCUUGGAUGCUUUUUACGUCUUUCGUGAAAUGGGGAUGGAGAAUGAACAGCCGAACUCAGUCACGUUGGUGAGCUUGCUAUCUGCUUGUACUAAAACGCUCAAUCUCAGGGUCGGCGAGUCCAUUCAUUCGUACGUUACAAGCAAUGGCAUAGAAAUGGAUGUUGCGUUGGGAACAGCCUUGUUUGAGAUGUAUGCUAAAUGUGGGGAGAUUGAUAAGGCUCUUUUGGUUUUCAAUUCAAUGGGUGACAAGAAUUUGCAGUCGUGCACUAUCAUGAUCUCGGCUCUCGCGGAUCACGGGCGAGAAAAGGAUGUUAUCUCUUUGUUUACCCAGAUGGAGGACGGUGGAUUGCGGCUGGAUAGUUUGUCUUUUGCCGUGAUUCUCUCGGCCUGCAGCCACAUGGGACUUGUUGAUGAAGGCAAAAUGUAUUUUGAUCGGAUGGUGAGAGUGUAUGGCAUAAAACCGAGUGUUGAGCAUUAUGGAUGCAUGGUUGACUUGCUAGGAAGAGCUGGCUUCAUUCAAGAAGCUUAUGAUAUCAUCAAGGGCAUGCCCAUGGAGCCCAAUGAUGUUAUAUUGAGGAGUUUUCUUGGGGCUUGCAGAAAUCACGGGUGGGUUCCUAGUUUGGAUGAUGAUUUUCUGUCUGAACUGGAGUCUGAGUUGGGGGCCAACUAUGUGCUCACUGCUAAUGUUUUUUCCACCUGUGCUUCAUGGAAGGAUGCCAAUGACUUGAGGGUAGCCAUGAAACUGAAAGGGUUGAAGAAAGUUCCUGGUUGUAGUUGGGUGGAGGUGCAAAAUUGAUAUUUAAUAUACCUUUGAGAAGAAGAUCCGCUAUAAGUUUGGUACAGAGAAAAUGUGGCUUUUAGAGCCCUUUAUGUGCAUUCUUCCUGUAUUCAUUGACUUGUUGAUUGCAAAUAGAAUAGAUAGAUGCAUUAAGAUGCUCUGACUGUUAGAUGUUAGGAGUUAGGACUGACCUGGAAUUGUAAAUAUAGAUGAGUUUAACUCAGGUUUCAACUCUUUUUUUAGGUAGUUCUUAACCUUCCAACUUUCCAAGUUGUGUUCAUGUUUUAAGCUACAAAUUUUGCAUGAAUGACAUAUGCAGUAAACAUUAGGAAGCACCACUUCUGUGAUUUUGGUUGCCAAAAGCAUGCAAAGCCACCGACAAUAAUGGUGGCUCUAUACUUUAGUAAUGACUAUUGACUAUUCAGAGUAAAGAAGUUUGGCAGAGUUCUAGAUCAUUCUGGAUGUAAGAAAACCUGGUAUUCAAAGCAUCUAGGUUUCUGCAAAUCCCAAUUUUGAUGAAUUUAAUAUAUGAUAUUUAAUUUGCUGGGCCACAACAUUUCACGUUUCAUGAUAGUCAAGCCAAAAUUUGAAAUGAUUUUUAAAAUUGUCACUGGAGUAAAAUGAUGGUACACGUAUUCCAUGUGUGGUUAGUCUCAAUGAAUGAGCAAGGUUCAUUUUUUUAAGGGAUAAAAUGCUGAAUAUUAUUGAUGCAACCAACUAGCAGAAAUUACAUCGUUUGAGAUUAUCUGAUCCACUUGGUAAGGACCUCCUCAAUCCAACAUCAAUCAAAAUAGGUCAAAGAUAGUGAAACUAAACAAUGUACUGUCUGGUUCCCCUGUCUUUUGGUAAAAACAAGGAUUGGAAUUUGAAUUGGGCAAAAGCUUCCUACACAUCUACAAUGCCAUGCAACAAAGACUGGCCCUGGUCUUCUCUCUUUUUCCAUUGUUGGACCAGCUGAAGGCAGUCCGAGCAAGGUUCAUUAGAAGAAAGAGUGAUUUUGACUUGAGUUCUAUUUUAAAAGUGAAAACAUUAUUAUUAUGCAUAUAUUUUAUUUUUAAUUUAAUUGCUAACAUGAAGUGAAAAAAUUUAUUACAAAACUAUUUUAAUUUGUUAAUGUAUAUCUAAAUAGCUAAUAGAAAAAGAAGUUUAGAUAAAGAAUUAUAUAUGGACAUUAAAAUUUAUAUUGGUAAUUAAAUAUUUAAAAUUAAUUUUAAUUAAGAAUAUUCAAACAAUAUUCUCUCUGCAAAAAAUAUUUUUUUGAUUUACUUUGUCUGAAAGAAAACACAUUGAUUGAAACUUUUGCAAUGGGUUCUUUGGUUUGGUAGUUUAGUUAUUUAGCAUUGUCAGCAUCAGUAACCAACAAAGAAAAACCAAGUGGUCCUCUACUCUGUUAGUACGUGCUGCAGAAACAGGGGCAGGAAAAUAUUAUUUUUCUGAUACAUUAUUUAUAAACGUUCACCCAAAUUCACACCAACCAAUAAAUCUUGUCACUGUAUGUUUGUUUGCACAUUAUCAUGAUUUUUCAAGUUUAACCAGAGGGCCUAUUAGUUGGUUAUAAAUUUCACGUUUUUGUGCUACAUUAACGUCUUUCUUUGCUUUCUAAUUAAUCAGUAUUUAAACAUGCACAAAAUCAGGAUGAGUUAAAAUCAAAUAUAUCCAGAGAUAUCCUAACACGUUAAACAACACUGCAAUCAGCAUUUCUUACUUGUCACUUCUACCAAUGAUGAAAACUACGUGAGGUUAUUCACAGCAAUGUCUCCUCCCUACUUUUAUUCUAGACCAGUAAUCUUUAAUUUCUUGAUUAAGCAUUAUUGCUAUUCCAGAACAAAAAGCAAAUCGCAAGCUUGACGUUCUCGUAUUUUAUUUAUAUACUCAGUGUAGUGUUGUGCAUAUUGUCAACAGCUGAGACAAUUUCCAUUUUUACCAUACGUUACUGUUUGGCCAGUGCGUGUAAUACAAUUAAUUGUGAUAUAAAUUAUUUUUAAUUAAAAUUUGAAUUAAUAAUGAUACAAAUUAUUAUUUUUAAUUGUAAUUAAAUUAAUUAUGAUACAAAUUAAUAUUAUUAUAAUUAAUUUGAUUAUUAUUAAUAAAGGAAAUUUAUAUAAUAAUUAAUUUGAUUACUUUUUAUAAAUGGUAAAUUCUAUCAUAAUUAAUUCAAUUUUAAUUAAAAAAAUAAUUUAUAUGAUAAAAAAGUUAUCCUUUUUAAAAUUGAAAUUAAAUUAAUUAAGAUACAGUUUAUCCUUUUUUAAUGGUAUUCAGUAUCAUUAAUUUGAUUGGUUUAAAAAGGAUUACUUAUCACCAUUAAUUUGAUUGGUUUAAAAAGAUAAGCCAUAUCUACAAUUAAUUACAAAUUCUUUCUGUAAAAAUUUAACCCAUUUUCUUUGUGUAAGAGUAAGUAAAAAAAAUACACAACAAAAAUAUACAUUUCCAUGAUAUAUUUUAACACAACAAAAAAAUCAUAUUAUGUAUUAGAUUAAUGGAAACAUGUUUUUGUUAUGUAAAAGGAAAGGGGAAAAAAUAACAAAUGAAACAUGAUUCUAUUGAAAAAAUAUAUAAUUGAAUUAUAUUUUCAUUAUAUAUUUUAUAAAUAGAAUCGCGUUUAUGUGCAAAGAUAUUUUUAGAAAAUGAAAUUUAAAGCACACUUUGGAUGUCAAUAAAAAAUUUAGAAGUAAGAAUAGCAAUUCCCUAAGAUGCUUGAACAUUUGUGGACAAUACAUGUUUGAUACAAAUCUGGCUGGGAAUUCUUUUAACGUAACUAUAUUACAAAAAAUGUUUUCUUUCUUGAUUAGUUUAUAAGAUAAAAAAUACUAACUAAUGAAAAACAAAAAAAUAAAGGCAACAUUUUGAUUUUUUAUCAAACUUAUCCAAAAGCUCCUUAAUCAUGGCUAAGCAGCAAGUCCAAAUUAUUUUAGACCAUCUCAAACAAUGACUGGUAAAUGCUCCACAUUGACCAGAGUAUUAUUAUUCAUAAUCACAUGCUCUCACAUGUCCUCACCACAAAGGCUUGGAGAUUUUCCUAUUAUAUAUUUAGCCUUCUAGUUCUAGUAAUAAUUUCUCACCUAAUUAAUUACAUAACAUUUCUUUUCAGACCCACAAAAAAAAAGGGAAAAAGAAAGAAACCCAUGAUUUUUUCCAUUGAAAAUAAAUACAAACAGACAGCUGUCCUUGUACACCCCUCCACACAACACAAGAACAUUAACAACAACACACUAAGUACUCUCUCACUAGUCACUACUUUACAGCACACUCUUGACUCUUAACUCUCCCUCCCAGUUUCAUGGCUUCUUCAGGGACAAGAGCAGCCUCAGGCUUCAGCUUCUCAGAGAUCUGGCUCUUGAUAGUAGCCACAGCACUCAUCUGUGGCUUUCUCGGGUACAUAGUUUAUGAUGCAAUCAUGGCCACUGCUUCUGAGUUGCUGCAACGUUUGCUGGUAAUUUCUCCACUGUUCUUGAUCAUCAUUGUUCACUGGCUCUCCACUGCAACCCAAAUAAGCUUCCCCAUGCCAGGAUCUGAGCCUAGUGCCAUCCACAGAGCUGGUGGUUCCCCUUGGGGUGUUGCCUUUGUUCUUCUUCUGCUUUUCCUUCUCAUUUCUUACCAACCUUCCCUGCAUGACCUUAUUUCUUAGCUAGCAUGCACUCAAGGUUUUAAAUACGGUCGCGGUCAUAUUCGUUGAUAUCGGAUAAAUGCGACCGAUGUGGUUCCAAUUUCGAUUGUGUUACAGUCACGGAGACCUUUUUUAAAACCUUGCAUGUACUAUAUAGUUUAGUGCAUGUCACUUUUGUGUAGGGGUGUGGUGCUUCUUAUUUUAGAGUUGAUAUGGGUACAUUUGGUUGCUGUACUGUAGCUCAUAAUGGACCUGUUAAUUUCUAUGUGAAUUUGGGUGUAAAAACUUGCAAUGUCUCUCUCUCUAAAAGGGCCUUUUGCCCUAUAGCAAAAUUUUGUGGCUGCUUAAAGUGUCAAGUUUCGAUCUUUGCUGGCCUAUGGCGGGUGUUUGUCCUUUGUUACUGAGAAAAUUGAAAUGUCAUGGUGUGUCAAACAUCAAAAUUACUAAGGAAUUGGACUAUUAGAGAAACUAUGUAUCUUUUCUUUUAGACUUCAUCUGUUGGUGUUCAUAGCUAAAUAUAAAAUUUAAAUAAAUAGCGUAUUGCUUGGUGGUAAUUUUUCUGUCUUGGUAGAAAGAGUUUAAUUCUCAUGAUUUACACUUACAAAAGGACAGAUUCUUUUUCCGCUAGUCUCAUCUGAAUUUGAUCUUUCCCCCGCUUUGUAUUGUUUUUUUUUUUUUUUCAUUCAACCAAAAGUCUCACGUUACAUAGAAGAUCAAAGUAGAACAUUUUUCACGAAAUUAAGGAUUUAACUUCUUUUCUAAGUUAAAUGAUGAAUACACUAAAAAUAAAAAUAUAUUUUCUGAAUUAAAACACCUUAUUUUAUUUUUUACCCAUUUAACAUCUUGCUAUUUUUAAAGAGUCGGACUUUUAGUACUAGUAUAUAAGGAUAUUUGCUCCCUCAAUUGACUAAUUCCCAUUUUUCAAGGACUAUUAUAUAAGGAUAAAAAUAUAUGAUGUGGUUUGUUGGAAUUUAUAUUUGACUCGCGUUAGACCAAAAUCAAAUUAUAUCUAUUUAUUUAGAUUGUGCUUGGUUAUAGUUUGUUAAAAAUUUAUGCCUAUUUAAAUACUACUUUAUUACAAAUAGAUUUUUAAGUAAGUUAUGGUGAAGAUUAUUUUUUUUCUCUCACACAGUUUAGUGGCCGUACAAACUCGAGAAAAUUUCGCACAUAUGAUGGGAAUUAAAUACAUACAAAUUAUACAAAUUAUCCUGUUAAAAUAAAUUAUUCUUUCACUUAUGAAAACACAUUAAAAUCUUAUACUAUUGUGUCAAUUUUUUUGAAUUGUUAAGAUUAUAUUAGUUUAUAUUACUCAAUGCUUAUAUGUAAUAGUGUAGGUUUUAAUUUUCAUAUAUUAUAGUUUGUUCUGCAUAAGUUUUUUUUCGUUGAUUAUUCAUCAAUUGACAUGUUUAGGUUAGGUUUUUUUAUAGAAAAUUUAGGAUUAGUUAUACCUAUAUAAGAACUUUAAUAUGAAAUAAGAUUUUAAGUAGACUAAAAGGUUACAAGUUUGUCUUUCAAAAUUAUCAAGCAAAGUUUAGACCUUGAAUUUUUUAAAAUCGGCCAAGACUAUUCAAAUAAAAUUAUGUUUAACCUAACUUAUUCUUACUUAUAAUUUCUUAUCUUUCUGAAAUUAAAUUAAUCUCUAAUAUCACGUAAUUGUCACGUCACACAUGCUGUCAGGUUUAAAAACAACUUAUAAAGUGAAAAUGAGAGAUUAAUUUUUAUGGAUGAACGAUCAAUUUAUAGUUACUUCUAACUCAUCAACAAGCAUUCGAAGUACUUUUCUUACACCAGCCUUGCCAUCAGCAGCCAAUGAAAACAUCACAGGUCUACCAAUCUGAAAUUUGAGAUGAAAGACAAAGGUAUAAAUAGCUGGAAUGUGGGGUCUGCCUCUAAUGUAACAUUAGUAAAACAAUGAAAUAGAAAUUCAUAUUCCAUAAGUUUCAUUGGCAUUUGUGACAAAUCCAUAUUCUGAGGAAAUUUCUAAGUCAGGAUCAUAUGCACUGUGGAACUUAGGAACUGCACCUCUAUGAUGAAUAUAUGCUUCAGUGAGGCAAGAAAGCUUACAUAUACUGUAGUUAAGCAUUCGACAGUUUAAUUUGCUAUGAUUAUGUGAUCAAAAUUUCAUGUACUUAGGAAUACACCAGCUGCUCCAAGAGUGCUUUAAAAACAUCUGUCCCUCGGCGAAUUCCACCAUCCAGAAAAACUGGAAUUCUUCCUUGUGCAGCUUUAACAACCCAUUCAACUCAAGCAAUCGAUAUUUCCAUUAUGUUGAAUGUAUAGAAAUUUGAAAGAUUACAUUAUUCAAUAGGACCCAAAAAUUUAAAAGAAAACGAAAAUGCAACCAUUACUAGUAAGGAAGCGGUUAAUAAUUUAUUUAUUUAUUUGCAAUGAUUCAAAUAUAACAGCUUUGAAGUUUUAAUGCAUAAUCAACUAAAAUCACGCAAAGAAUGGGCAAAAGUUUAGUUCCACUACCAAGAAUGAUAGCACUAGAAGUGGUUCAUUUCUAUUCCAAUUAAUUAAAACAUUCCAGAAAUGAUUAGGAUCUAGUACCUCUUCCAAAGCCAUAAUAGUAGCAGGGACAUAGUCAAGUUGCCGAGCUCCUUGAUUGGAAACAAUGAUCCCAGCAGCUCCAGCUUGUAUGGCUAUCCUUGCUACAUUAUUAGCAUAGUAUAUGGAAUUGGCUUCAUGAUUGAGAAAACAAUCCUAAUAAAGAUAAAAUGGACAGGGAAGCAACAGAGUGUAUCUAUUUGAUAGGUUUACUAUCUUCAACAGUAAGUACACCCUUUAAUAAAAUUGGCAAUGAAGUUAUUGUAAGGAGCCAUUUGAUAUCCUGAAGCAAGAUUACCAUAGUAUUACUUCCACAUUCAGUGCCACAGAUUAGAAAAUUGUAUGUGUGAAAUAUCUAUAUCACCUUCCAGUUGAGUGACCGAUCAAAUAGUACAGCAACAUAAGUGGUAACAACAGAGUCACAAGUCUGGAAUGUAAUCCCAAACAGAAAAUAACAACAGUAACAACAAUAAAGUGACCAAUAAUGGAAAAAACCAACCUAAUUUCAAAAUUUCAUGCCAAUAAUGGAAUAUAGCAAUGUAAUCACAAACCUUGUCCAGCUUUCCAAGAUCCAAUCUUUCAAAAUUCUUAAAUACCAUGUUUGGCGGCAAUGUAAAUCUGAAAAAUACCCCAUGAAGCAUGCCAGUAGUAUAUAUAUCUUAAAGUAGAAAAGUUAUUAAUUCAAUCGUGAUGAACCAUGUAAAGUUAUGUGGAAAGGCUGUUCCGGUUGAAAUUUCCAAAUGGUUGCCAACCUGUUUUUGAUGUCAGCCUCCCUACGACCAAGAACUGGACUGUCCACAGUAAGGGCAAUUGCCUGGAAACCUGCUCUUUCAGCUCUUCUCACAAGCUGAGCAACCACAUUUUUGUCUUUCAACACCUGAGAGAAGAAAAAAAACACAGUAACAUAUUAGGUAUUAAACUGAAGAUUGUUGACAGUUUUGAUAAGGGGAGAUAUUCAUAUUAGUGCUUGCAUAACUGAAGCAAGAAGAAUAAUAAUUUGAUAUUAAGAGGAAGUGUGGAAGGAAAAGAAAUGGUGUGUGAAAGUAACAUCUUUUCUGGGAAAAAUCGCUGGAAAUAAAAUUCAAAUAAUACAUUUCCCUGUGGCAAUUUGCAGGAAUCAAGCCAUUAUUUGCGAAACUCAUGAAAACAUUGGUAAAGACCAAAAAAUCUGAUGGCAUACCUUCAGGGUGAGCCAUCUUUUAAAUGGCUGUUGGAGCAAUCAUGAUAGGCAUUGAUAUUUUCAAAUCCAAUACAGUUGUAGUCAAAUCUAUCUUGCUUACAUCAACAAGAAUACGUGGCUGGAACCUGUUUGAAGUAAACCAAAUAGAUGUUGUGAGAUUAGAAUAUAAAACCACCAAACUAUCAUUAUUUCGCGAAUUUUAUAACCCAAUUUUUUUUUCCACGCAUUUUACAAUCAUAUUUUUUAAUUUUCACGCAUUUUACUGAUCCAUUCAAUGUGAAACGAAGUACUGAGGUGUACCUAAAACCGACAUCAUUUUGUCACCAAUUUUUUCAAAAGGACAUUGUUUUGAUACCAACAUAAUGGUAAAAUGCACAGAACAAAAGCUUGGAUGGUAAAAUGAACAAAAAAAUUAAAAGCAUGAUAGUAAAGUGCGCGAAAGAAACUUAGGUGGUAAUUUUCACAAAACCAUUGAGUGGUAAAAUGUGCAAUUAAGUCAAUUAAUUAAAAGAAGCAUGAGUGCAAUGUCAUUACAGAGGGACAUCCUUAUGUGUGCCAGUAAUCCAAGGAAAGGUGAUUGGUGAACUUAGAGAUUUUGAAUGCAUCAAGAGAAGGUUUCUAGGGGACCAGAACAGAUAAAUGGGGCCCUAGUUCCUAAGAAAAGUAUAUUACAGAAUCCUUGAGAAUGCAUUUCGAUUUUCUUUCAAAGUCCACUGAUCCUCUGCCCCUGAUGCAUAAUAGUCAUAAACCAUCUUUGGCAAUUUUUCCUUUGCAAUUGCCUCAUACUCUGUAACAUUAGUUAUCAUCUCCGUCUUCAUAAGAUUUACUUACAAUGUCCGCAGGAUCUGCUGAAAUUGAGUUUGGAGCAUAGUGUGAUUAAAUAACAUGAAAUUAUAUCAAAUGCAUUCCAAUGCAAAGAUGCUAUGCAAUAUCAAUAAAUGCAAGCAUGAAUAUAUCUGAAGUUCACUGAUUCAUUUUAGAACUCUAUAAAACAUGCUGGUUAGAAUCCCGUCAAAACACAAUCUUGAAUCAAUUAGUAUGAUAAAAUAUGUUACACACACUAAGUUGAAAGAGAAAACAUUUGACUUGGGCUGCCGAGGUGAGGAAUACGAUGAUGCUAUAAAGAAACCAGAAAAAGUGUCGAGAAAAGUGAAAGAGUCACAAGGCAUAUCAAUGAGCGAAAGGAACACAAAAGGGAAAUAAUAAAGAAAUUGGGUAGUGACAAAAUGAUGAGUAUACUUGUUUUUAUUUAAAGAGGUGGCUUAAGUCAACUACAACGAAACUCUACGUGGGAAUUUGAUCCCUACAAAAUCAUAGGAGGCUCCUCUCUGCCAUGGCAAUUCAAGAGCAGUCAAUAUAGCACCGAGUUCUGCCAUCGAAACAGUGCAAGCCCCCAGAUUUUUAAAGAAACCUUUUGCAUCUUUGGAAACCCCUCUAGACGCUGCACUAAUAUCGGCAAAAGUAAAAGAAAGGGGAUAAUUUUAUUUUUUUUUAAUUUAGCAUUUGAGGAUAAAUUUCAAAUUAAGCAUAAGUCACAACGGAUGAUCAGUUAAACAUAUAAAUUAAUAAAGUCAUAAUAUUUUUUUAUAAUUUUAAUUUAUUUUUUUAAUCAAGACUUUAGAGUCAUAAGAAUUUUUUUUAUGACUCUAAAGUCAUAAAGCAUAAUCUUUCUUUUGUUCUAGGACUUUAAGUAGUACAAUACAAAUCCUUUUUGUGUAUAUUUUUUUAAAAAAAAAUUGUAAAUAAAUUUUUAAUUUAAUUAUUUAAUAAAUGAAUGUAUUUUUAAUUUUUAAAUUUUAUUUAAUAUUUUUUUAUAUGAUUUUAUUUAAUGUUUUUUUUAUUUUUAGUAUAUUAUUUUAUUUAAUAUAUUUUCUAUAUUUAAUAUCUUCUAUUUUUGUUUUAAUUUAAUUUUAAUUAAAAUAUGAUUUCAUGUACGCAUGACUCACUUACAUGUCACAUUUAAUACUACGUGACAUCACAAGUAACUGAUCAACAUGUUGAUUAAUAGUCACAUCAAUAAUUAAUAUGAAUUCCUCUUAAUACUAAAGACCUCUACAAAACUUUUUAAAUAUUAAGGACUCAUCAAAACCAAAAUUUAUUAGGGACCAAAUAUAAAAUUUGAGUAUAUAGCAAGGAUAAAAACAUAUUUAAACAAAAAAUAAAUUGAUAAUUCAUGAAAGUGAUUUCCUGUUUUAUACUAAGUUGCUUGGAAAUGUUUCAUUUUCAAGAAAAUGUUCUUGUAUUCACGGGGGAGACUUCUAACACACAUCACAGAAAAGAGAACUAUGGAAAGAAGAAAUGAGGAAAAAAUGAAGCAACCUCCUCGACACUGGAAGUAGCAGUUGAGGAUAGUGUCUGUGACAAAAAUUAUGAAAACUAAUCUACUGGAAAGUAAUUAAGUACAACAAAUGCAUGCAGUUCAGUAGGCAUACAGUCAAAUAAAUAAUAAAACUACAAGGAAACGAAUAUAACUUUUGUCUGGAAAUAAAACCAAAGUGCAUGACAAAUAUGGUAAAAGUUAAACCAUGAUUGUGCCAGCUGCUGAUGCUGCUCUAGCAGUAUCUAAUUCUCCUGCACAAAAGUUGCAUAAUUUGUUUUAAUUCAGAAGUUUUUCUAUGUUGUUGUUAUAGCAAGAAAUAAACUUCAAUUAAAAAAAUAUUAAGAAUCAGGUAUUAAUGCAUUAACAUUAUGAUUAACACAGACCAAUGAAUCUGGUCACAUACCUUCAGGGUGAGCCAUCUUUUGCUUGGCUGUUGGAGCAAUCAUGAUAGGCAUUGAUAUUUUGAAGCCCAAUACAGUUGUAGUCAAGUCUAUCUUGCUUAAAUCAACAAGAAUACGCAGCCGGAACCUGUUUGAAGUAAACCAAAUGGAUAUUGAGAAAAGGGCUUCGGAAUAACAAAGUUGAAAAUUGAUUAAAGGAAGCAUAAGUUGCAAUCUCAUAACACAGGGAAAUCCUAAUGUGUCCUUAGUAAUCAAAGGAAAGGUAAACUUAGAUUUUGAAUGAAAAGUUUCUAGGGGACCAGAAAAGAUAAAUAAAUGGAGGUCCUGGUUCCUGAGAAAUGUAAAUUACAGAAUCCUUGAGAAUGCAUUUCGGUUCUCUUUCAAAGUCCACUGAUCCUCUGCCCCUGAUGCAUAGAAGUCAUAAACCAUCUUUGGCAAAUUUUCCUUUGCAACUGCCUCAUACUCGGUAACAUUAGUUAUCAUAUCCAUCUUCAUAAGAUUUUCUUAUGACGUCCGCAGGAUCUGCUGAAAGUGAGUUUCAAGUAUAGUUAUUAAGUAACAUGAAAUCAUAUCAAAUGCUUUCCAAUGCAAAGAUGCUAUGCAAUGCCAAUAAGUGCAAGUAUGGAUAUUUCUGAAGUUCACUGACUCAUUUCAGAACACUAUAAAACAUGCUGGUUAGAAUCCUUUCAAAACACAAUCUUGGUCAACGUGACAACUAAAAGCUGAAAAACAAGUCUUUUUGUGUCCCUCAAUGGUAUUUCAAUUAACAACAAUAGAAGAGUUGUCUUUUUUGAAAAAGAGUUAUCAUUCCAUGUCAAAUGAAAGAUUCAUCAGUCCCCACCUAUUGAAAUCAGGAUCUUCUUAAAUUUUCACAUCAAAGCUCCACUUUCAUGAUUUCUUAUGUAUGUACACAUAAUUAGCAUGUUUGGUUUCAUGAUUCGGAUGUGAUUUUUCAAAACUAUAGUUAUAGCUUCUACAUCUGAAAUGUGAUUCCUCUAUUCUCAACUUGUUUCCAAACAUGCUACAUCUCUACCAGUGAUAUUUUCAUCAUGUAAAAUUACUUACUUUAUCCUAUAAAGAAAGUAUUCACUUUAGAGGAAACAGAUCCCAACUUAUGGAUCAUUUUACUUUGUGACAUUGAUGAGCAAUUCCUCUAAUAGGAUCAGUUCAAUUUACCCUUUCAAAUUAAGUGAGCUAGGAUCAGAUUCAGAAGAAACCCGUGAUGGGAAACAAUCCAGCAGAUUGAAAAUCCAAACUGUGUAAACUUCAAACAGUGCCCAAAACGGUCAAUUGCAAUCAUUAAGUACCAAAAUGAAAGGAACCGUAAAUUAAGACUGCAAAUCAAAGUUAAUCAUGUUCAUAAUCAACUAGUAGCAAUAAAAAUUUAUGAUCAAAUACUUCAAGUAACAUGGAAUUAAAAUCAGGUACUAAGUUGAAAGGGAGAACCUUUGGCUUGGACUACCAAGCAGCCAAGGUAAGGAAUACGAUAAAGCUCAGAAGGAACAGGAAAAAGUGUAGAGAAAAGUUAAAGAGUCACAAGGCAUGUAACACAGUAACAGAGCCAAAGAAACAUGUGCAAGAGGAAAUGAUAAAGAAAUUGCAUAGGGACAAAAUGAUGAGUAUACUUUUUUUAAGCUUAAUUGCGUUUUUUACCCCCAACAAAAAAAGAACGAGAUUAAAACUGAGGUUGUGUUCCUUUGUGCAUGAGGUGUAUUCGAAAUUCUGAUUGCUCCAUUUGUUUUAGUUAUAAUUUUACUCCCUUCUUUGUCUCACCUUUUCCUUGGUCAGAAGGGUUUAUAAUGUAAUAAAAAACAAAAACAGAAACGAAUUUUUAACUCCUUGAUCUGCAAUCUGCAUAACUUCAUUAGGUUGAAAACUUACGUCCAUUAGAUUUAGAUCAACCAUCCAAUGUAUCGUAUUAAAGUCUGAAACUAGAGUGCAAUGAUCAUCAUCUCAUGGGCAAAGUGCUACAGUUUAUAUCACUUGAUGUUCAGCAUUCUUUACAGUAACUACAAUGGUGCAACUACCAUGUUAAUUGUUGUUUAAGUUAAUUUUUAUAGAUUGAUCAAUAUCACGGUUCUCAAAGAAGGAUUACACGUGGAAGAUCCCGUGAACACACCUGCUUUUUUUCAUAUCUUUGGCUUUGUAUGUCCGUGUUGUUUUCUGUUGCAUGCGUCAAAGGUUAUAAGAUGGCAGAGUGAAGCUAAUAUAUAUAGAUUAUGUGUAUUUUGUUAGUUCUUACGUUUUUUUUUUUUAUCUUAAUACAUUACAAGACAUAGUACCAAACACAAUAUGUUGUGGGUAUUUUCUUUUGAUGGAGGUCUAUGGUUUAGUUUCACCAUGGAUUUUGUUCGUGGUUGGCUCCUAGCAUUGUAAAGUCUCCUCACUCCUGGUUUGCAUUUACAAGGGUUUAGAGUAAUGAAAGUGAAAAAGAGUUGAAAAGAGUGAAAUUAAGAUGAAAGAGGAGAAAAGUUUUUUAAAAAAACAGUGAGACUCACAAGAUGACUUUCAUUGCUCAAAUGAGAUAAAAAAAAAAAGAGAGGUGAAAUGACAUAUUCACUCCCAUGGUUAUGUCUCCCUCUUUUUUUUUUAUCCAAACCUCUCUCCCUUUAAUAAUAAUAAUAAAUUAAAUGAUCUCAAAAAAUUAAUUUUCAUUCUAUUUCUCUAAAACCAAACAACCCUUAUUUCCAUCCUAUUUUUGGCCUACUUUUCUUCUUUUUUUUCUUUUCUUUGCUUACAUAUUCACUCCCACUCCCUCUCCUUCCUCAAAAAAGAUAGAGUGGGGUACCAAACAUUUAAGGUCACCCUACAGUAUAGGAUGAACUUGGCCCCAAGUGUCAUGCGGUCCUAAGCAUCCUUUGAUUCAAAUGUGAUGUGUUUUGUUCUCUAUUCCAUGAUAACCAUCACAUCAAAUGAGAUGGUCUUAGGAGCAUUUUCCAUCCAAAGACAUAUCAAGCAACUUAUCAAAUCGAAUUUGUGUACCUAAAUGGGAGAUAGAUGACCAUAAAACUUAAUCUUUUGCUAAGAAAAAAAGUACAUUUUAUUGGCAAUCAUGUUUCUAGAGUUUACCAAAUCCCAGCACCAAAUGCAACAAAAUGAAAUAGCAAUUACUAACGGAUGACUAAUGCUUGACUCACUGUAACAACAAAGUUUUCCACAGAAGCAUGAAAUAAGAACAAAGGUUAUUCUAAAAUUUCUAUUUUAGAAUAUAGAAGAACAAGGUGGAGUCCUGCCAUCUUAUAACUUGGGAGAAAAUCUUGGGUGAUCCCACUCUGUGAUAACAUGGUCACGAGUUAUCUCCUUGAGCGAACGGCAACCAC
rnacentral:lncRNA from 1 species